AGUCGAGCGAGACCUUCGGGUCUAGCGGCGGACGGGUUAGUAACGCGUGGGAAUAUACCCUUCACUACGGAAUAGCCUCGGGAAACUGGGAGUAAUACCGUAUACGCCCUUUGGGGGAAAGAUUUAUCGGUGAAGGAUUAGCCCGCGUCUGAUUAGAUAGUUGGUGGGGUAAUGGCCUACCAAGUCUACGAUCAGUAGCUGGUUUGAGAGGAUGAUCAGCAACACUGGGACUGAGACACGGCCCAGACUCCUACGGGAGGCAGCAGUGGGGAAUCUUAGACAAUGGGCGCAAGCCUGAUCUAGCCAUGCCGCGUGAGUGACGAAGGCCUUAGGGUCGUAAAGCUCUUUCGCCAGAGAUGAUAAUGACAGUAUCUGGUAAAGAAACCCCGGCUAACUCCGUGCCAGCAGCCGCGGUAAUACGGAGGGGGUUAGCGUUGUUCGGAAUUACUGGGCGUAAAGCGCACGUAGGCGGAUUGGAAAGUAUGGGGUGAAAUCCCAGGGCUCACCCCUGGAACGGCCUUGUAAACUCCCAGUCUAGAGUUCGAGAGAAGGUGAGUGGAAUUCCAAGUGUAGAGGUGAAAUUCGUAGAUAUUUGGAGGAACACCAGUGGCGAAGGCGGCUCCCUGGCUCGAUACUGACGCUGAGGGGCGAAAGUGGGGGGAGCAAACAGGAUUAGAUACCCUGGUAGUCCCCCCCCUAAAACAUGAAUGCCAAACCUCGGGGGGGUUUGCCCCUUCGGUGUCCCCCCCAACCGGAUUAAGCAUUUCCCCCCGGGGGAGAACGGUCCCCCAAAUUAAAACUC
rnacentral:rRNA from 1 species